rnacentral:tRNA from 1 species
GGGGGUAUGGCGGAAUUGGCAGACGCAGCGGACUUAAAAUCCGCCGACUUCGGUCUUGUGGGUUCGAACCCCACUACCCCUACCA